rnacentral:rRNA from 7 species
CGUCAUGAAAGUCGGUAACACCCGAAGCCAGUGGCCUAACCCUCGGGAGGGAGCUGUCGAAGGUGGGAUCGGCGAUUGGGACGAAGUCGUAACAAGGUAGCCGUACCGGAAGGUGCGGCUGGAUCACCUCCUUUCU